AAAUGUACAAAUAAUUAUUCAUAAUCAAAAACACCAUUAUAGACAUAUGUAUAUUGAUUUGCACAUUUAUAUUGUGGUGUAUAGAGCUCACAGGG